rnacentral:rRNA from 1 species
AACGAACGCUGGCGGCAGGCCUAACACAUGCAAGUCGAACGCCCUAGCAAUAGGGAGUGGCAGACGGGUGAGUAACGCGUGGGAACGUACCCUUCGGUUCGGAAUAAGCCGGGGAAACCUGGUCUAAUACCGGAUACGUGCGAGAGCAGAAAGAUUUAUCGCCGAAGGAUCGGCCCGCGUCCGAUUAGCUAGUUGGUGAGGUAACGGCUCACCAAGGCGACGAUCGGUAGCUGGUCUGAGAGGAUGAUCAGCCACACUGGGACUGAGACACGGCCCAGACUCCUACGGGAGGCAGCAGUGGGGAAUAUUGGACAAUGGGCGCAAGCUUGAUCCAGCCAUGCCGCGUGAGUGAUGAAGGCCCUAGGGUUGUAAAGCUCUUUCGCCAGGGACGAUAAUGACGGUACCUGGAUAAGAAGCCCCGGCUAACUUCGUGCCAGCAGCCGCCGUAACAC